rnacentral:rRNA from 1 species
UUCCGGUUGAUCCUGCCGGAAGUCACUGCUAUCGGUGUUCGACUAAGCCAUGCGAGUCAAAUGUUCUUCGUGAACAUGGCGUACUGCUCAGUAACACGUGGAUAACCUGCCCUUAGGGCUGGCAUAACCCCGGGAAACUGGGGAUAAUUCCGGAUAGAUCAUCGAUGCUGGAAUGCGCUUUGAUCCAAAGCUAUUGUGCCUAAGGAUGGGUCUGCGGUCUAUCAGGUUGUAGUGGGUGUAAUGUACCUACUAGCCUACGACGGAUACGGGUUGUGGGAGCAAGAGCCCGGAGAUGGAUUCUGAGACAUGAAUCCAGGCCCUACGGGGCGCAGCAGGCGCGAAAACUUUACAAUGCGGGGAACCGCGAUAAGGGGACACCGAGUGCCAGCAUCCUAUGUUGGCUGUCCAUAUGUCUAAAUCACAUGUGUUAGCAAGGGCCGGGCAAG